CAUAAUUUUUUGUUCUCCACUGUUUCCCCCAUCCUAUUGUACCUGUCUGUCUGUUUCUCCUUGUGAGUCUGCUUGGUUUGCAGGUGGCCGUGGCUCUCUCCCUGGCUCCUACACUCUGUGUCUCUACACACCUGCACCUCAUUCCCAUCAACCACCUGUUAUAUACCCGGGUCCAGCACGCCAGUAUUCACCAGAUUGUCUGCGUAUCUCUAGUGACUUCCUGGAACUGCCUGCCUGGUCACCUGCUUCCCACUCGCCGCUUCAGCCUACACCCUGUUCCAUCUCUUUGUCUGGACCUGGAUCACCUCCCUCGCCUCAGUGAACUAACUAUUGUGUCUACAAUAAACUCUCUCUCAACUGAGAAACCUCUA